GUGGAAUGCAACACGUUGCAUUCCACGUCUUCACCAUGUGGUCUGUCCUUGCUCUCUUCAUACAUGCAGCUUUUGUCUGUGUCCAAGGAGACAUUGUGCUGAGCCAGCCUGGACAGGAAGUGAAGAGGCCAGGAGAGUCAGUGAAGCUGACCUGCACAAUCUCUGGCUUUAGUCUAGGAGGCUACUGGACUGCUUGGCUUCGACAGAAAGCUGAGAAGAGUCCAGAGUGGCUCGGUGAGAUUAACGGGGACGGUGGGACGAUAAACUACCUGAGCUCCAUCAGGGGAAGACUCACCAUCAGUAAAGACAAUGGCAAAAACACUCUGCAUAUGGAGCUGAAGAGCCUGAGGACGGAGGACACAGCUGUGUAUUACUGUGCCAGAUACACACAGUGAGGGAGAGUGAGGGGAGAGCUGCAUAACAGCCUCCCCCUC